rnacentral:rRNA from 1 species
GGAAGUAAAAGUCGUAACAAGGUUUCCGUAGGUGAACCUGCGGAAGGAUCAUUACCACACCAAAAUAAUGUCCACGUGAACCGUUUUUGUUUAUACUUGAGAGCUUUUGCUUUCGAGUAGGGAGUGUAAACUCCUGUUUUUUAAACCAUUUAUACUAAACUACUAAACUAGAAAUCUUUUUAAUGAAAGUACAACUUUCAGCAGUGGAUGUCUAGGCUCGCACAUCGAUGAAGAACGCUGCGAACUGCGAUACGUAAUGCGAAUUGCACGAAUCAGUGAGUCAUCGAAAUUUUGAACGCAUAUUGCACUUCCGGGAAUUCCUGGGAGUAUGCUUGUAUCAGUGUCUGUAUACUUUCUCACCUUUUUUGAGUUAGCGCAAGCUUUCUUGUUCUUGGUGGAUGUUGAGAGUCUUAUCGGUCUGCAUUUGCGGUCUGAAAAGUCUUUUGAAAUAUACAAACAAUGAUGAUGCUUUCGUGUUAUCCUUGUGCUCAAAAUGCGGUAAAUAGACUUUGUUUAUUGAUGCUAUUGAGUGUUUGGGUAGGAAGUGUGAUUAUGUUCUAAUGGGAAAUAUUAUUAUUUUUUAUUAGACCUGAUAUCAAGCAAGAUUACCCGCUGAAUUUAAGCAUAUCAAUAAGCGGAGGA